rnacentral:rRNA from 1 species
AUUGAACGCUGGCGGCAUGCUUUACACAUGCAAGUCGAACGGUAACAGGCCGCAAGGUGCUGGCGAGUGGCGAACGGGUGAGUAAUGCAUCGGAACGUGCCCAGUCGUGGGGGAUAACUACUCGAAAGAGUAGCUAAUACCGCAUACGAUCUAUGGAUGAAAGCGGGGGACCGUAAGGCCUCGCGCGAUUGGAGCGGCCGAUGUCAGAUUAGGUAGUUGGUGGGGUAAAGGCUCACCAAGCCAACGAUCUGUAGCUGGUCUGAGGGGACAACCAGCCACACUGGGACUGAGACACGGCCCAGACUCCUACGGGAGGCAGCAGAGGGGAAUUUUGGACAAUGGGCGCAAGCCUGAUCCAGCAAUGCCGCGUGCAGGAAGAAGGCCUUCGGGUUGUAAACUGCUUUUGUACGGAACGAAACGGCUCUGGUUAAUACCCGGGGCUAAUGACGGUACCGUAAGAAUAAGCACCGGCUAACUACGUG